rnacentral:rRNA from 1 species
AUUGAACGCUGGCGGCAGGCCUAACACAUGCAAGUCGAACGAGUGGCGGACGGGUGAGUAAUGUCUGGGAAACUGCCCGAUGGAGGGGGGUAACUACUGGAAACGGUAGCUAAUACCGCAUACCAUCGGAUGUGCCCAGAUGGGAUUAGCUAGUAUGUGGGGUAACGGCUCACCUAGGCGACGAUCCCUAGCUGGUCUGAGAGGAUGACCAGCCACAGUGGAACUGAGACACGGUCCAGACUCCGACGGGAGGCAGCAGUGGGGAAUAUUGCACAAUGGGCGCAAGCCGGAUGCAGCCAUGCCGAGUGUAUGAAGAAGGCCGUAGGGUUGUAAAGGACUUUCAGCGAGGAGGCGUGACUCGCAGAAGAAGCACCGGCUAACUACGUGCCAGCAGCCGCGGUAAUUC